AUGGGUAUCAGCCCAAAUCAUAUGAUUUAUAUCAACAAUAUGAAUCACAAGGUUAUAACAGAAGAAUUGAAGAGAUCCCUGUAUGCCCUGUUUUUUCAGUUUGGUCAUGUGGUAGAUAUCAUGGCUUUAAAGACCAUGAAGAUGAGAGGACAGGCUUUUGCUCUCUAUGGAACUGGGCUCAUCCACAAAUGCUCUGAGACUGUUACAAGGAUUUCCAAUUUAUGGCAAACCAAUGUGAGUUCAGUAUGCAAAAACAGAUUCUGAUAUAAUACCUAAAAUGUGUAGCGCUUUUGCUGACAAGGAAAAGAAGAACACUAAAACUGUGGAACAGGCUGCGGCAUCUGCAAACAAAAAGCCUGGUCAGCGAACACCAAAUUCAGCUAAUACCCAAGGAAACUCAACACCAAACCCUCAGGUCCUGGAUUACCCUCCAAACUAUAUUUUAUUCCUUAAUAACUUACCAGAAGAGACUAAUGAGAUGAUGCUACCCAUGCUUUUUAAUCAGUUCCCUGGUUUCAAAGAAGUUCAUUUGGUACCUGGGAAACAUGACAUUACAUUUGUAGAAUCUGAAAAUGAUGGGCAGGCUGGAGCUGCCAGAGAUGCUUUGCAAGGGUUUCAGAUCAUACCACCCUAUGCUAUAAAGAUCACCGAUGCCAAGAAAUAA